CCUACGAGAGGCAGCAGUGAGGAAUAUUGGUCAAUGGGCGCGAGCCUGAACCAGCCAAGUCGCGUGAGGGAUGAAGGUUCUAUGGAUCGUAAACCUCUUUUAUAAGGGAAUAAAGUGUGGGACGUGUCCUAUUUUGUAUGUACCUUAUGAAUAAGGAUCGGCUAACUCCGUGCCAGCAGCCGCGGUAAUACGGAGGAUCCGAGCGUUAUCCGGAUUUAUUGGGUUUAAAGGGUGCGUAGGCGGCCUUUUAAGUCAGCGGUGAAAGUCUGUGGCUCAACCAUAGAAUUGCCGUUGAAACUGGGGGGCUAGAGUAUGUUUGAGGCAGGCGGAAUGAGUGGUGUAGCGGUGAAAUGCUUAGAGAUCACGCAGAACCCCGAUUGCGAAGGCAGCCUGCCAAGCCAUGACUGACGCUGAUGCACGAAAGCGUGGGGAUCAAACAGGAUUAGAUACCCGGGUAGUC
rnacentral:rRNA from 1 species